UCGAACCAUCUAGUAGCUGGUUCCCUCCGAAGUUUCCCUCAGGAUAGCUGGAACUCACGAUCAGUUUUAUCGGGUAAAGCUAAUGAUUAGUGGUACUUGGGUUGAAACAACCUGAACCAAUUCUCAAACUUUAAAUAGGUAAGAAGUCCGUGGUUACUUAACUGAACCCGGACAUUGAAUGAGAGUUCUUAGUGGGCCAUUUUUGGUAAGCAGA
rnacentral:rRNA from 1 species